GGAGAGAAAAGCCAUACAUGUCCCAAAUGUGGGAAAGCCUUUACUUAUCAGUCAUUUCUUGUAAGACAUAUGAAAAUUCACACUAGAAAGAAAUCUUAUGAAUAUGUCAAAAGUGGCAAAGGCUUUAGAUAUUCCCUACACCUUAAUAAACAUUUAAGAAAGAACAUUCUGGACAAGCCCUAUGAAUGUAAGGAAUGUGGGAAAACCUUCAGCAAGCCUCAAAACAUGCACAUAUAAGGAGUCAUGCUGGAAAGAAACCCUAUAAAUGUGACAAAUGUGGAAAAGACUUUGCAAAGACAUCAGAAUUAAAAGCCACCUUAAGAGAUACAAUAGUGAGAAGCCCUGUGAGUGAAAGGUGGAAAAUCAUCAUUAAUUUUUCACCAUACUGAACAUGUGAGGAGGACACACUGGAAGGGAGCUCAAUGAGUUAACAUGCAUGAGAACAUCUUUCCUGAACUCUCAUAUCUUACGGAAGUGUGAAAAGAAACCCUGUGAAGGUAAACUCUAUGGAAAGCCUUUCAUUCAUCUUCAUUCAUCUUGAGUAGCUAUUUGUUCUCACACUGGAGAGAAGCUAUGAAAGUAAGGAACAUGAAAAAAGCCUCAGUGUUGCCUCAGACUCAUAGUUCAUACAAGAACGCACACUGCAGAGACUGCUUAUGGAAGUAAAAAAUGUAGAAAAGACCUCUUUAAACACUUAACCCUCCUGUUACACAUGAUUCCGCACUCUGGAGGGAGACUACAAUGGGAAUAAAUAUAAUAAAGCUUUCAGUUCCAGCUCUUCACUUAUUGGGCAUGAAUGAGCACAUAGCAGGACUGA
rnacentral:lncRNA from 1 species